rnacentral:piRNA from 1 species
UGCCAUGAGUGAUUCCAGCAAGUUUG